AGUGAACGCUGGCGGUAGGCCUAACACAUGCAAGUCGAACGGCAGCACAGUAAGAGCUUGCUCUUACGGGUGGCGAGUGGCGGACGGGUGAGGAAUACAUCGGAAUCUACUUUUUCGUGGGGGAUAACGUAGGGAAACUUACGCUAAUACCGCAUCCGACCUACGGGUGAAAGCAGGGGAUCUUCGGACCUUGCGCGAUUGAAUGAGCCGAUGUCGGAUUAGCUAGUUGGCGGGGUAAAGGCCCACCAAGGCGACGAUCCGUAGCUGGUCUGAGAGGAUGGUCAGCCGCACUGGAACUGGGACAGGCUCCAGACUACUACGGGACGGCGCAGUGGGGAAUAUUGGACAAUGGGCGCAAGCCUGAUCCAGCCAUACCGCGUGGGUGAAGAAGGCCUUCGGGUUGUAAAGCCCUUUUGUUGGGAAAGAAAAGCAGCAGGUUAAUACCCCGCUGUUCUGACGGUACCCAAAGAAUAAGCACCGGCUAACUUCGUG
rnacentral:rRNA from 1 species